rnacentral:rRNA from 1 species
UACGGAGGAGGCAAGCGUUAUCCGGAAUUAUUGGGCGUAAAGCGUCCGUAGGUGGUUUUGUCAGUCUGCUGUCAAAGCACAGGGCUUAACCCUGUAAAGGCAGUGGAAACUACAAGACUAGAGUGCAGUAGGGGCAGAGGGAAUUCCCAGUGUAGCGGUGAAAUGCGUAGAGAUUGGGAAGAACAUCCGUGGCGAAAGCGCUCUGCUGGACUGCAACUGACAUUGAGGGACGAAAGCUAGGGGAGCGAAUGGG